CAAUGAUACAAGACAUGGCGGACAGAAUGUUACCGGAGGCGAGCCUUUGGACCUUGUCGACCCAGAAUCCUGUAUCUUCGAUGUUUUCGUCCCAUGAUCAGCACCAAAACAAUGUGGUAUUGCGAGUCGUCCAUUUUUCUUCUUCAUUACAAAUUGUCAGAGAUGGAAAUGUAAUAUUCGCGAACAGCAGCGUUCAAAAAUAUGUGUUCUAACAGAAAGAUAAAGUCAAAUCCUCUUUACUUAAUUAGAUUGUAGGUUAUAUAUCUCUUUUGCAAGUAUUUCCACAAGAAACACAUGUUUUGCUGCAGAAUUGGAAAUAUUUGUGACUUUUCCUAAUGCAACUUUGGCAAAUGGAAAAUUGCCUUUUUACUUUAAUUUGGUGACACUUAAGUAAGGUAAAAGUGCUGCUACUUUAAAGCCCGGUUCCACCAAGAGUGAUUAAAUUCUUGGUUAGCUAAUCACAAUCAUUUUUUAAUCACCACUUUAAUCAUGAUUAAAUUGUCAUGCGUUCCACAACAAACAUUUUAACUCCGGUUAGAUAAUCAUCAGUCUCAUAGGUUAAGAUCAUAUUUCCUUUGAAUCCACGGUUCUGAUUGGUUCAAACACCUCACAGAUCAACUGAAAUCAUUUUCCCUCAAAACGGUAAUCACAUGUAGCUUGAACAUUGAUAGAGAAAUAUCCUUUUCUAUUACGAAAUACUUCUGCGUGUUCUAAAGUUUGGGAAAACGAGUUAAUGCAUAAAAAAUUACUUGUGCUGCACUCAUUUCCUUUUUUGUAGAUGGGAGUUUAAUGUCAUGUCAGCAGUUACUCGAUGUACAAUUCGAUGCGGACUAGUUUUGGUUACUCCAAAAAAGUCUCCAGCAGCAAUAAGUUGCGAUCCAGUUGCAUAAUACCUCAACACAAGUAAAAGUUGUGUCAUGGGUUGAAUAGUGUUGUUUCUGAAACAUCCAUUUAAUGAACAUGUGGCAAUUUUACUAUUAUUCAUUUAUCAUAACUUUCUGUAGUAUGUUGCAGGUCUAUUUCUAUUUCCAGCAGUAAUGUUUGGACAGUGUUUUUCGAUAAGCGAAAUAGCAUAAACAAAACUUAAGGUGUCCAUGAUUUCAAAAUAAUUGACUCGCGGAUUAAAUAUUCGCGGUCUUCUAACAACUUGCAUGUCACUAUCCUCAUCAGACGGUGAUAAAACAUCGCCAUAAAACAAAUCCAACAUGUGUUUACUUAAAAUUGUUUGAGGUUAUAAUACUGCAAUAAUCGUGAUUAUCGUCAAUAACCAGCCAUUUUAGGCGAUUAAGUUAACCACUGAUUAAGUGUCCAUAAUCGUGGUUAAAAUUAUGGUGGAACACAGUGUUGAUUAAAUAGUUUAAAUCAAUGAUUAACGUUUUAAUCGGAGAUGGUGGAACCGGGCCUUAGUAUUACUAUUAUUAUCGUCUAUACAUAUGGGGAAAACUUUUGUAUUAAUCAUGUAGUUAAUCGUUUUAACCCACUUUCAUA
rnacentral:lncRNA from 1 species